rnacentral:lncRNA from 1 species
GGCCUGCCAGGACCCAGAGGGAGCGGAGCACGCGCCUUUGGGAAUCUUCGGUGCGCCAAGUCUGUUCGCCGCCGGGGUCUAUCACCCCCGCCCCUCGCCUCUGCCCGUGAGCGUGUGAGUUGUAGCGUACCCUGGGGUCUGUUCUGGAGGAGGCCUGAGAGCGGGGUUGCCUGGGGCGUGGGUCUCUCAUCCCUCUCGUCCUGGUGAAGAAGAAGAGUAUACCCAGCGGGAAUCUUGGUACCAAUAAUUGCAGAGGUAGAAGUCAGAGAAUGGCCUGUCCAGAAGACAGCCAAAUACAUCCUUCAAACAGACUUCACUGCAGGAGACAGAGUGGAUUCAUCCUGUAUUCUCCAUGUAGACUUCCAUCUUCAUGAGUACUCCAAGAAGAUGGUUCAGUUGACUAUUGCAAAGGUAAAAAUCCAAGAGAUACAGAUACAGAAUAGGACAGAGAGACAUAUUUUUAAGCUAUUGAUUACAAUUAUGGUAUGCCUAUAGAUUGCAGAACCGAGGAGAAAGGGAACAUUAUGAUUUACCAUCAAGAAAAACUUAGAAUUGGUGCUGAGUAGUUCAUUCUAAGAAUUACCAUUUAUCUGUAUUUGCCCCCAUUUUCAUUGUUACUAGGCCAAAAGUCAUUUCAUAAUUAAUAAGUUGGAUGUCAAAAUCAACUUGUGUUAUUAUAAAAUUAGCAAUCUACAUUAUGUGUUUCUUUACAUUUUUAUAGGAGUAUUUAUAAAUAUACCUAAGAAAACUGACAAUGUGGAGUACAAAUGUUGCAUUUUCAAAACUGGGAAUCUGUUUAUUGAGGCUCUAUUUUUAGUUAUGUAUGAUAAUAGACUGCAUUUCAGGUUUCAAACCUUGUAAAAAUAAUUUCCUUAUGAUAUGUUUACUCAUUUUGCAAAUAAUUAUUGUGUCAUAUAGCAAGAGAUUGUACUUCCAUUCAGCUGGUUAAAGUACAAAAUCAUUGAUAUGGUUUGGCUGUGUCCCCACCCAAAUCUCAACUUGAAUUGUACCUUCCAGAAUUCCCACAGGACCCAGGGGGAGGUAAUUGAAUCAAGGGGGCUGGUCUUUCCCAUGCUAUUCUUGUGAUAGUGAAUAAGUCUCACGAGAUCUGAUGGUUUUAUCAGGGGUUUCUGCUUUUGCUGCUUCUUCAUUUUUCUCUUGCUGCUGCCGUGUAAGAAAUGCCUUUCACCUCCUGCCAUGAUUCUGAGGCCUCCCCAGCCAGGUGGAACUAUAAGUCCAAUUAAACCUCUUUUUGUUCCCAGUCUCAGGUAUGUCUUUAUCAGCAGCAUGAAAAUGGACUAAUAGUACCAGUAGAGUGGGGCAUUGCUGAAAAGAUACCCGAAAAUGUGGAAGCAACUUUGGAACUGGGUGUUGAAAUAAUCUGGAGGGCUCAGAAGAAGAUAGGAAAAUGUAGGAAAGUUUGGAACCUCCUAGAGACUGUGAAUGGCAUUGACAAAAAUACUGAUAGUGAUAUGAACAAUAAGGUCCAGGCUGAGGUGGUCUCAGAUGGAGAUGAAGACCUUGUUGGGAACUGAAGUAAAGGUGACCCUUGUUAUGUUUUAGCAAGGAGACUGGCAGCAUUUCACCCUUGCCCUAGAGAUUUGUGGAACUUAGAGCUUGAGAGAGAUGACUUAGGGUAUCUGGUGGAAUAAAUUUCUAAGCAGCAAAGCAUUCAAAAGGUGACUUGGGUGCUGUUAAAAACAUUCUGUUUUAAAAGGGAAACAAGAGCAUAAAUGUGGAAAAUCUGCAGCCUGAUGAUGCAGUAGAAAAGAAAAACCCAUUUUUUUUAAGGAGAAAUUCAAGCUGGCUGCAGAAAUUUGCAUAAGCAGCAAGGAGCCUAAUGUUAAUCCCCAAGACCAUGGGGAAAAUGUCUCCAGGUCAUGUCAGAGACCUUCAUGGCAGCCCCUCCCAUCACAGGCCCAGAGGCCCAGGAGGAAAAAGUGGUUUUGUGGGCUGGGCCCAGGGUCUCUGUGCUGUGUGCAGCCUAGGGACUUGGUGCCCUGUGUCCCAGCUGCUCCAGCCAUGGCUGAAAGGAGCCAACAUAGAGCUUGGGCUGUGGCUUCAGAGGGUAGAGGCCCCAAGCAUUGGCAGCUUCCAUGUGAUGUUGAGCCUGUGGGUGCAGAGAUGUCAAGAAUUGAGAUUUGGGAACCUCUGCCUAGAUUUCAGAAUAUAUAUGGAAACACCUGGAUGUCCAGGCAAAAGUUUGCUGCAGGGGCAGAGCCCUCAUGGGGAACCUCUCCUAGGGCAGUGUGGAAGGGAAAUGUGGGGCAGAGCCCCCACACAGAGUCCCUGUUGGGGCACUGCCUAGUGGAGCUGUGAGAAGAAGGCCACAGUCCCAGAACGGUAGACCCCAGAAUGGUAGACCCCAGAAUGGUAGAUCAACCACCAACUUGCAUCUUGUGCCUGGAAAAGCUACAGACACUCAACAUCAGCCUGAGAAAGCAGCCAGGAGGGAGGCUGUACUCUGCAAAGCCACAGGGGCGGAGCUGCACAAGACCAUGGGAACCUAUCUCUUGCAUCAGCAUGACCUGAAUGUGAGACAUGGAGUCAAAGGAGAUCAUUAUGGAGCUUUAAAAUUUGACUGCCCCACUGGAUUUCAGACUUGCAUGGACCCUGUAACCCCUUUGUUUUGGCCAAUUUCUCUCAUUUGGAACAGCUGUAUUUACCCAAUACCUGUACCCCCCAUUGUAUCUAGGAGGUAACUAGCUUGCUUUUACAGGCUUGUAAGUGGAAGGGACUUGCCUUGUCUCAGAUGAGACUUUGGACUGUGGACUUUUGGGUUAAUGCUGAAAUGAGUUAAGACUUUGGGGAACUGUUGGGAAGGAAUGAUUGGUUUUGAAAUGUGAGGAUUAUGAAAUUUGGAGGAGCCCAGGGAGGAAUGAUAUGGUUUGGCUGUGUCCCCACCCAAAUCUCAACUUGAAUUGUAUCUCCCAGAAUUCCCACAUGUUGUGGGAGGGACGCAGUGGGAGGUAAUUGAAUCAUGGAGGCCAGUCUUUUCUGUGCUAUUCUCGUGAUAAUAAGUCCCACAAGAUCUGGUGGGUUUAUGAAGAGUUUCUGCUUUUGCUUCUUCCUCAUUUUGCUCUUGAUGCCACCACGUAAGAAGUACCUUUUGCCUCCCACCUGAUUUUGAGGCCUCCCCAGCCAUGUGGAACUGUAAGUCCAAUUAAACCCUUUUUGUUUCCAGUCUCAGAUAUGUCUUUAUCAGCAGCAUGGAAACGAACUAAUACAAUCAUAGUUUUUAAAAACCAAUCUAAAUGUAACUAUUGAACAUGAUUAGCUGUUUCAUCCCUAGUAGAGUGACAGAAGGAAACAUCCAUAGACAGGAGUAAUAAGAAACCAGCUAAACUUCUAAACCAUUUUUAAAGGAUGCGUGUGAGCUGGCAUAACCUACCUACUCUUUCCUAUGGGCCUCUACUGAGAGCAUGGAGGUAAUACAUCUAAUACACUGAAGACCAGGGCAAGAGAGCUGGAAGAAAUCCCUCUUAAGCACUCCAGGCCUUCACUGAGUAUGAGGUGCUGGUCUCCAAAGGCAGAGGGCAAGGCAAGGCAGAGAGGGAUCUCCUGGGGCACAGACAACUGACAAAAGAAACACUUGGAUUGUUGUAUAAGAGGAGUGAGCUUUGUAAAUACCACGUUAGCUGGCCUGCUGUGGAACAGAAUGCCUGUGAAUGACAGUAGUCAGGUAGUGGAUGAACACUGAUCUGAGAGCCUGUAAAAGAAACUCUUUGGAAUGAUAAUGUCAUCUAGACCUUUGAUACGCAAAGUGUGAUUCCUGGACAGAUGUAUUGGCUUUACCUGGCAGCUUGUUGGAAAUGUAAAACCUCAGGCCUCACCCCAGACCUACUGAAUUAUUUAUAUUAAUUAAAAUUAAAUAAUUUUUAUUUCAACAAAAUCCCUGGGUAAUUUGUAUGUACAUUAAAUUUUGAGAUGCAUGAUCUUUUAAGGUUCAUUCUAAUCCUUAAAAUUCUGUUUUAAUAAUGUGUACAAUGAAGUGCUGCAUGGCAAACUACACAGAAACUAAAGGCAUGUUCCAAAAAGGAAAAGUUCCAUGUGGCUAGGGGAAUAAAAGCUUCAUCAGGGAACCAGGAGUUGGGCUGGUUCUUAAAACCUGGAGAAAGAAGAUGGUUACAUCAAGAGAUAAAUAGAGUGAAGCAGAACUAGUGGUGCGGACCAGCUCGCCAGCAACAGAAGGGUUUGUAGUCGGCCUGGCAGUGGACAGGGAGGUUGGCUAGAACUAUUACCUUAGGUCCGUGAUAAUAUCCCUGAAUCCAACUUUUCAGAAAGAAAUAGGUAACAUAUUUUUCACCAGGAAGCUUCACCCAGACACUGAACAGAAUGGUCUCAGUGCACUAAUGGAGGCUCAGUUAAAGGGUUGUGGUAGCACAAGGAAGAGACAUUCUGACUUGGAAAUUUGGAGAAGGCUUCACAAAUGAAGGGGCAUUUGAAAUGAGCUUUGAAGGUGCAAGAGUAUUCCAAGUUGAGAAGACAACCUGAGUGGUGUUGGGUGAACAGUCAUUCUACCUGGCUGUAGUGUAGUAUAGUGUAGUGUAGUGUAGGAAACAUCAGAGGAGUGGAGUGGGAUAUGAGCCUGGAGAGAGCUGGCGGCCAUGGAUCAUUGAAAGCCUUGAAUGUCUGAUGGGGAGGUUGACUUUAUUUUGUAGGCAAUGGAAAGCCACCAGUGGUUUUAGUUGAGCAGCAAUGAAAUUAAGCCUGUGCUUUGCAAAGAUUAAUCUAGCAGCAACAGAUUGGAAGCAACACCACCAUUCCUGGUAUCAGUCCAGGUAAAAUAUAUUACAGCUCUUUACUGGAGCAAUAACAGUAAUAUUAGAAGGAGAAAUAAAAAAGAAAAAUAUUGCACAGGCAGAAUGGGGAGGUCCCAGUGAUGGAGCUGAUCUUGGUUCAUUGAGGCAGGGGUGGCAUUAAUCAUGUAAAACACAGGAGGAGGAACUGGGUUAGGAGUAAUGGUAGAGUUCAGUUUAGGUAAUUGCAAAUACACACUAUUCCCUGACUAGCUCCCAAGACUUUUUCUUCCCUCUCUUCUUAGAACUUCAUUAGAAGAGGUGAUGUUAUUUCUUAGAUGAGAGUAUCUUACUUACCAUUGACUAAUACAUG